rnacentral:rRNA from 1 species
ACGCUGGCGGCAGGCCUAACACAUGCAAGUCGAGCGGUAGAGAGAAGCUUGCUUCUCUUGAGAGCGGCGGACGGGUGAGUAAUGCCUAGGAAUCUGCCUGGUAGUGGGGGAUAACGUUCGGAAACGGACGCUAAUACCGCAUACGUCCUACGGGAGAAAGCAGGGGACCUUCGGGCCUUGCGCUAUCAGAUGAGCCUAGGUCGGAUUAGCUAGUUGGUGGGGUAAUGGCUCACCAAGGCGACGAUCCGUAACUGGUCUGAGAGGAUGAUCAGUCACACUGGAACUGAGACACGGUCCAGACUCCUACGGGAGGCAGCAGUGGGGAAUAUUGGACAAUGGGCGAAAGCCUGAUCCAGCCAUGCCGCGUGUGUGAAGAAGGUCUUCGGAUUGUAAAGCACUUUAAGUUGGGAGGAAGGGCAGUAAAUUAAUACUUUGCUGUUUUGACGUUACCGACAGAAUAAGCACCGGCUAACUCUGUGCCAGCAGCCGCGGUAAUACAGAGGGUGCAAGCGUUAACCGGAAUUACUGGGCGUAAAGCGCGCGUAGGUGGUUCGUUAAGUUGGAUGUGAAAUCCCCGGGCUCAACCUGGGAACUGCAUUCAAAACUGACGAGCUAGAGUAUGGUAGAGGGUGGUGGAAUUUCCUGUGUAGCGGUGAAAUGCGUAGAUAUAGGAAGGAACACCAGUGGCGAGGGCGACCACCUGGACUGAUACUGACACUGAGGUGCGAAAGCGUGGGGAGCAAAC